UACAGAGGUCUCGAGCGUUGUUCGGAUUCAUUGGGCGUAAAGGGUGCGUAGGCGGCGCGGUAAGUCGGGUGUGAAAUCUCGGAGCUUAACUCCGAAACUGCAUUCGAUACUGCCGUGCUUGAGGACUGGAGAGGAGACUGGAAUUUACGGUGUAGCGGUGAAAUGCGUAGAUAUCGUAAGGAAGACCAGUGGCGAAGGCGGGUCUCUGGACAGUUCCUGACGCUGAGGCACGAAGGUCAGGGGGAGCAAAACGGGG
rnacentral:rRNA from 1 species